rnacentral:tRNA from 1 species
ACGGAAAUGUGCCCGAGACACUAAGGAUUACUUUGAUAGAGUAAAAUACAGGGACGCCAACCCCCUCAUUUCCU